GGACCCCAGUGUGGGGGCUGGGGGUGGAAGGAUGGGCAGAUGGGUGAAACCCCAGUAGGGAGGAUGGGCAAGGUGGAUGGGACCCCAGUAGGGGGGACUGGCAGAUGGGUGGGACCCCAGCAGCAUGGGGUGAUGAGCAUGCACCGGACCUCGGCUGGUGGGAGACACACAGGCUUUCCGCCCAGUGCUGACCACAGGCGCCCAGUGUCCUGGCCAGUGAAGGCCAGUGGGGCCAAAGUGCAUCUUUGUUGUUUUAGGUUAUUGAUCUGUUUUUAAAGAAAAGGGCUUGGGCCAUGAACAAUAUUCACUUUAAUAGUUUAGGGCUUCUUGGUGUGAUUUCCAAAACGCCAAGGGGAAGCUCAGAAGAUUGAGUUAUUGCAAAGAAUGACAGCAGAAGUGUGUGGGAAGGUCGGCCUGGAUGGCGGCUGGGGCCAGAAGCCACCGGGGAGCCUGGGCCAAUUCUGUCGCAGAAUAGUAAGACCUCUGAGGACUGUACCUCCGCCUGUGAUUUUAAUCUCCGUCACCCAGAUCGCCCAUCAGAGACUGCACGUGUUCCUCUCCGUGGUUCCUCCCGCUCUCGGAUAAUCCCUCUCAAGGUUUUACGUGUGUCAUCUGUAAGCCCCGUGGCGUUGGCUACCGUAACUCACGGCAUGAAUGCAGUUGCCCAUCACAGUCUGAUUCUCAGCUUCGCCUGUGCACACUCGGAUCCACACAGCCUCACUGGUUGCUCUGUUUCACCCCCACCGAGGUCACAGACCCACACGUCCCCUCCUGUCGCAGAGCCCACGGGACACCUACCCCUCCUGCAAUUCCCACCUGUCGCCUCCAUUUCCAGCAUGUUUAAGUGCUGUGAAAGUGGAAAGUCUAAAUGCUUUGGCCUCUUGGGCUGGGAGACAGGUGAAUGUCUGGUUGUAUGAGAAGUCCUGCGUGCCUGCCUCACCUGAGGGGCCUCUAGCCAAGCAUGAGGGGACACCCCCGCCAGGGACAGCAGCGUUGUCACUGUUCUUUAUUUUAGCUGCUCUGGUAGGUGACCUCUCACUGCGGUUUCCAUGUGCAUUUCCCUGAGGGCUGGCCAUGUCCUUUUUACCAUCUGUGGAUCGUCUUCAGUGAAAUGCCUGUUCACGUCUUUCAUCCAAAAAAUUUGGGUUGUUUGCUUUAACAUUUAGUUUUGAAAGGUUUUUUUUUUUUUUUUUUAAUAUAGUCUGGGUACAAUCCUUUGAGGGUUAUGGGUAGACAUUUUGUACUCCUCAGAUGGACUUUCACAAAAGCUUUUGAUUUUGACGUUGUCCAAUUUAUCAGCUUUUUUUUGUUUCUUUAUAGGUAAGGCUGGUGUGUCAACCUAAUUCUUCUUGACUAGCCUAGACCUCGAAGAGUUUGUCUUUCUUUUCCUAAGAGUUUUGUACUUUACAUUUAACAUUUAAUCCCGGUAUUCAUUAAUUUUUGUGUGAGGUGUAUGCUUUAGGUCAAGAUUUAUAAUUUUUGCAUAUGGGUGUCAAGUGACCCCAGCACCAUUUGUUGAAAAAACUUUCUGCCACAGAGUUCUUUUUGCGUCUUUGUCAGAAAUAAAUUCAGCAUAUCUGUGUGGGUCUGUAUUUGGGUUUACUGCUCAGUUCCGUUGGCCUGUGUCUUUGUCCCUCUGCCAGUCCCACACUGUCUUGAUUACUGGAGCUGCAUAAUAAGACUUACUGCUGGUAAAGUGAGUCCUCUCACUUUGUCCUUCAGUGUCAAGACUGUUUCAUCUGGUCUAUAGCCUGAGCCUUUCUACACAGAAUUUAGAAUAAGCUUGUCUGUGUCUACAAAAAUCCUUGCUGGAAUCUUGAUAGGAAUUACUCGGAACUACAUUUACCCUAUACAUAUGUGUAUGUAUUUAUGUUUAUGUAAUUGUUAUAUAUUAGCAUAUAAGUAAUAUAUAAAUAACAUUGACAUGCAUUUGUUUAUUUUUAUGUACAAUUUUAGGGAUAAUUGACAUCUUCACCAUGCUUUUCCUUAGGCUGUUCCCCCCUCACCCCAGGAAGGUCUAGGAACAAUAAUUUGAAUUUCCUCUCAUUUCACCUAAAUAUUCCCUUUAUCUUUGGAAACACUCUGGAAAAUGACCACAGGCAAUUGUGCAGGGCCCCUGAGGAUGGUCUGUGCUGCCUCAGUGAAGAACCUAGGGGUGAAGUACGGGAAAGGGUCACGCCGAGAACUCAGGGCUGUCACCACCAGCUCGGGCGUGUGCCUCUCUGGCCCCCUGACGUCCCGCAGUAUCGGGUUGGGGAGGCUGGAAGCUGACAUUGGGCGGAUGGUACAUAGACCCAGAAUCCGGGGCUUCAUCCUGGGGCCGUGGGCCUCCCACAGCUCCGUGAGCUGUGUCCUCCCACCCACCAGCUGGUGUCAUGACCUCACUCUGUGGAGAUCCUGAAUGUUGACAGAGGCAGGCUCUCCAGGAUGAGGGGUUAUCGAUGGGGCGGUUCACGUUCUUAAUGUGAGGAUCCCAUGCCCGCCCCACCCCCUUCAUGACUGUGGAAGGUUCUGAAUCACACUCACGCUUCAUGUCUAUAGAUGCUUAGAGACCCCGACAAACUGGAGCGUGGGCAGCUGGUCUCUCGGUUCUGCAGUUGGAAGUGCUUUGCAAACGUAAUUCAAAACGGCAAGAAGCAGGUGAGCCUAUCUUAACAAGCCUGGAGCUGUGCUGACCCAGGACACGUAAGAGUCCACUAAUGACACAGGAAUUCGGCACCGAUUAUGGUACCUUUCAGAUUUUUCCACCUAGAGGGAAUUCCUACCAACUUUCUAGCUCUGCAUGGUUUGCAUUCUGCUACUGGGGAGAGAACUCCCUCCACAGUGCCACUCCCCCACCAUGGAUCGGGGUCCCAUGGACACAAUGUGGUGUUUGUUGUCACCGCCAUCUUUCCAGGGGUCUGUGUCCAGUUCCCCACCCCCCUAUCCUGCCAAGUGUUUUCCUGGCUGGGCCGCCUCACCUGUCCCCCAGAGGCGUCCUUGUAGAGAAGCCGUCAAUCCACCUGCCCCUCCCCCCACCAACUCCUCUGGGUAAUUAACCUCCAAACACAGCAAGAAAGGGCCUGAGCCAACCGCCAGGCAUGUCUGGGGCCGUGGCACCUGUCCUAACACGGGCUUGUGAAUGCUGCCCCAACACAGGGCUCCCAGGCUGGAAUGCAGCCAAGAGAUCCGAUUCAUGUAAUUUAAAGAGCAGUGUGAGUGACGAACUGUGCAGGGGUUUGAAGACAGCAGUCCACACUGAGUUGCAAAAUCCAUGGAGUUCCCACUUCCUGGGUGAGUGAAGUGUCUGGCCUCGGGCAGGGCGAGCCUCCUGCCGCUUGACUGUAAGCACCUGGAGGGUCCGAGACAGACGGGGGGCAGGGUCCCGGACUCCCUGGUCUCAGGCAGCAGGUGCCCACGUGCACCUCCCUUCAGGAACUCACCUGCCCCGUCAGGAUCUGCUCCGCGGCUUCCCUGACCAAUGGUUGUAAGACAGCUGAGAAGUAUUUUCUAAAGCGUUUAGCGGGAUUGAGCAUAUGUUGUCCUCUUGCUUUUAAAGGAUAAUAAGCAAUUAGAAGAGGACUCCACGGACGACGGUUUUGUGUUGGCCAUCGGCUGUUUUCACCGGCCAGGAGGAGGAGACGGGCAGCCCGGCCCCGAGAUGCCCGAGGCUCGGGCAGAGGUGCAGGGGCACUCACAGCUUCCAUGUUCCGUUCACAUCCUGUGCUCUCUGGCAUGCGUUCCCCGUCUGCUCUUGAAGGCUUUCAUUUUCCUGAAAUAGGCUUCCCUCCCCGUUCCAGGCAGGUUGAGACUUUCCCUCCUCCAUUCCCCGAAGGCCUUGCAGGGACCACGUGGCAGGACUGGG